rnacentral:rRNA from 1 species
CAACGCCGCGUGAGGGAUGAAGGCCUCUGGGCUGUAAACCUCUUUUAUCAAGGAAGAAGAUCUGACGGUACUUGAUGAAUAAGCCACGGCUAAUUCCGUGCCAGCAGCCGCGGUAAUACGGGAGUGGCAAGCGUUAUCCGGAAUUAUUGGGCGUAAAGCGUCCGCAGGCGGUCUUGAAAGUCUGUUGUUAAAGCGUGGAGCUCAACUCCAUUUCAGCAAUGGAAACUAGAAGACUAGAGUGUGGUAGGGGCUGAGGGAAUUCCCGGUGUAGCGGUGAAAUGCGUAGAUAU